AUUGAACGCUGGCGGCAGGCUUAACACAUGCAAGUCGAACGAGUGUCGGACGGGUGAGUAAUGUUUGUGCCUCUAGCUUAUGGAGUGGGAUAACUACGGGAAACUGUAGCUAAUACCGCCUACCAUCAGAUGUGCCCAGAUGGGAUUAGCUAGUAGGUGGGGUAAGGGCUCACCUAGGCGACGCUCCCUAGCUGGUCUGAGAGGAUGACGAGCCACACGGGAACGGAGAAACGGCCCAGACUCUAACGGGAGGCAGCAGUGGGGAAUAUAGCACAAUGGGCGCAAGCAUGAUGCAGCGAGGCCGCGUGGGUAAAGAAGGCCUAAGGGUUGUAAAGCACUUUGAGCGAGGAGGCGUUACUCGAAGAAGAAGCAACGGCUAACUACGUGCCAGCAGCCGCGGUAAUGC
rnacentral:rRNA from 1 species